rnacentral:misc_RNA from 1 species
GAUGAAGAACGCAGCGAAAUGCGAUAAGUAAUGUGAAUUGCAGAAUUCAGUGAAUCAUCGAAUCUUUGAACGCACCUUGCGCCCUUUGGCCAUUCCGAAGGGCAUGCCUGUUUGAGUAUCAUGAACACCUCAACUCUUUAUGGUUUUCCAUGAUGAGCUUGGACUCUGGGGGUUUUGCUGGCUCACAGUCGGCUCCUCUAAAAUGAAUCAGCUUACCAGUGUUUGGUGGGUAUCAUGGGUGUGAUAACUAUCUACGCUUGUGGUUUUUCCACCAGGUAACCUUCAGCAGUGGAGGUUCGCUGGAGCUCAUAGAUGUCUCUCCUCAGUGAGGACAGCCCAUUGAAUGUUUGAUCUCAAAUCAGGUAGGACUACCCGCUGAACUUAAGCAUAUCAAUAAGCGGAGGA